GGAGCACGCCGCGUGAGUGAUGAAGGUUUUCGGAUCGUAAAACUCUGUUGUUAGGGAAGAACAAGUACCGUUCGAAUAGGGCGGUACCUUGACGGUACCUAACCAGAAAGCCACGGCUAACUACGUGCCAGCAGCCGCGGUAAUACGUAGGUGGCAAGCGUUGUCCGGAAUUAUUGGGCGUAAAGCGCGCGCAGGCGGUUUCUUAAGUCUGAUGUGAAAGCCCCCGGCUCAACCGGGGAGGGUCAUUGGAAACUGGGGAACUUGAGUGCAGAAGAGGAGAGUGGAAUUCCACGUGUAGCGGUGAAAUGCGUAGAGAUGUGGAGGAACACCAGUGGCGAAGGCGACUCUCUGGUCUGUAACUGACGCUGAGGCGCGAAAGCGUGGGGAGCGAACAGGAUUAGAUACCCUGGUAGUCCACGCCGUAAACGAUGAGUGCUAAGUGUUAGAGGGUUUCCGCCCUUUAUUGCUGCAGC
rnacentral:rRNA from 1 species